UUGAUUUAUUUUAUUUUUAUUAUUAUUAUUUUACUUUUCACUGACACCUGGUGAACUUGUCGUCUCUGAGACCCGGGGAGUUAUUUUAGUCAGGGUGUCCCUGCCCUCCUGCUGGUAGAUUAAUUACACAUUAAACGUUCUGUUUUCAAAACGAAAUGAUAAAUCUGGACACAUAAAAGAGGCACAAAAAGAAUCACAGCGAGGGAGAAGAGUGGAUGUUAAGAAACAAAACAAGAAAUUGCAAAAGGGAGAUAUCAGAUAGAAAGGAGAACGUAGGAAAUGCAACUGGGAAAGAAUUUCAAGAAAAUAAGGAUAAAGGGCAGGGAGGGCUGAAAGGAGGGCCAGAGGGAGGAAAAGCAGGAGGGAGAUUUUUGGUUUUCAAUUCCCUGGUGAGGCUGCUGGCGUCCGCGCCCUCAACGCCCCAGCCUUCCAAGUUGAGGCGAAAGCCACCUCCUCGGGCCUGCGUCGCAUCCAACUUACUCCAAGUUUUCUGGUGACUCCUACAGGGCCCCUUUCCGUCCCCCCCCCCGCUCCCCGCCCCCCAAGCCUUAGUGAGAUUGACAGUCGCGUGGAGGAGGCUUUUCCAGGCACAGCCUUUCUCAUGACUUUCCCCUCCUAUCCUAGGCUCAACUCCGAAUGGAUUGGAUUGCGAGUCUGCACGUGAGAAAACCGUUUGGCUUGGCUUGGACCCCUGCCGCCCCCCACCUCCUCCACACACACCCAGUCCAGGGGUCCCCUUUAUCACCCUUUGCUUGCAACUCCAAAAGAAGUUGCCCACCUCCUGAGUCACAACACAAGGUCGAAUAAUUCCUCUAGAUGAAAGAUCAGUUUCAUUUCAAAACGAGAAUAGGUUCCUUUUUUUAUUUUCUCCACAUGGUACAAAAUAAACAGAAUUUGCUUUAAAAAAAA
rnacentral:lncRNA from 1 species